CCUUGCUGAGGUUGUCCUCACCAUCCAUCGUUGACUAGGAUGAACGCUACUGCGCGAUGUCGUCUGUCCGCCGCCGUUCAGGAUCGAAGCUGCAGCCCACCCUUUGCGCCGCAAAAGAAAUGCUUGCACCUUGGUUCGACUGCUGGGAGGAGGACCACCCAGCGAGGUGACUGAGUUGCUGCCGACAGACCAUGCAGUGGCAACUCUGUCUGGUACAUCUGCAGUUCUGCAUGUGUGUUUGUGGGCUUGUGGCUAGAAUGAGAACUGUGGCUACAUCCACCCCUCACUAUCGCACAGUGCGAUUGUGGACACCUCAGUUUAUUUUUCUGAGUAUGCUCCACUCCCAUUCAGUGUGGUGGAUUUGAGAGGUUCGAGAGGUGAUCACUUUUCAAAUGCCACCUCAUAUUUUUUUUCUUCAUCUGUCCUGUUUUCCAUAGUGUUUUAGGUAAGAGAUCAAAGAGAUCAACGUAAACGACCAUGUGUUUGGAUAAGUUAUUUAUGUGAAUAGUUGUGUUUUAGUCACUUCUCCUUACUUGUCAAACUACUAAUUCCAUGCAAUAAAAGAAAACUAGUAAUUUCAUCCA